rnacentral:rRNA from 1 species
GAUGAACGCUGGCGGCGUGCCUAAUACAUGCAAGUCGAGCGAACGGACGAGAAGCUUGCUUCUCUGAUGUUAGCGGCGGACGGGUGAGUAACACGUGGAUAACCUACCUAUAAGACUGGGAUAACUUCGGGAAACCGGAGCUAAUACCGGAUAAUAUUUUGAACCGCAUGGUUCAAUAGUGAAAGACGGUCUUGCUGUCACUUAUAGAUGGAUCCGCGCUGCAUUAGCUAGUUGGUACGGUAACGGCUUAUCAAGGCAACGAUGCAUAGCCGACCUGAGAGGGUGAUCGGCCACACUGGAACGGAGACACGGUCCAGACUCCUACGGGAGGCAGCAGUAGGGAAUCGUCCGCAAUGGGCGAAAGCCUGACGGAGCAACGCCGCGUGAGUGAUGAAGGUCUUCGGAUCGUAAAACUCUGUUAUUAGGGAAGAACAUAUGUGUAAGUAACUGUGCACAUCUUGACGGUACCUAAUCAGAAAGCCACGGCUAACUACGUG